rnacentral:rRNA from 1 species
AGUGAACGCUGGCGGUAGGCCUAACACAUGCAAGUCGAACGGCAGCACAGUAAGAGCUUGCUCUUACGGGUGGCGAGUGGCGGACGGGUGAGGAAUACAUCGGAAUCUACUUUUUCGUGGGGGAUAACGUAGGGAAACUUACGCUAAUACCGCAUACGACCUACGGGUGAAAGCAGGGGAUCUUCGGACCUUGCGCGAUUGAAUGAGCCGAUGUCGGAUUAGCUAGUUGGCGGGGUAAAGGCCCACCAAGGCGACGAUCCGUAGCUGGUCUGAGAGGAUGAUCAGCCACACUGGAACUGAGACACGGUCCAGACUCCUACGGGAGGCAGCAGUGGGGAAUAUUGGACAAUGGGCGCAAGCCUGAUACAGCCAUACCGCGUGGGUGAAGAAGGCCUUCGGGUUGUAAAGCCCUUUUGUUGGGAAAGAAAAGCAGCAGGUUAAUACCACGCUGUUCUGACGGUACCCAAAGAAUAAGCACCGGCUAACUUCGUG